UUUUGCAAGAUUAGGAUAAGCAUGGGAUUUUAACAUCUGGAUAAUAUGAAACUAAAUAUUUCAAAGUCCAUUUGUAUUUAUACCACCGUUACAAAUAGUCCACUGGAAGCACUUCAACAUUGAACAUCGCUGAUAAAGAAGCUGGUUAACUUUGCAUGCACGAUACCUGACCAUAGCUCUCUAAGUUUUCGAAUGCAGGAGACAGUAGCUCGGUUGUAGACACAACAUGGUGAAUUAAACUGUGCUAUCACGGAAUUUGUCAUCUGCCAGCAGCCAGGGUUUGCUUCUUAUGUGCCACGCAAGACUUCCAAAGAGAACAACAUGUCUAAGCAACUGAAGCAGCACUUUCCUUGGAUAAAGAAGAAUGGAAGCAGUACGAAUACGUACGGUAGCAUUAAUGGAUCUGACGACCAAAUCGACGUACAUCAACCAUUACUUCCCACAACCCAGGACUGGACCAAACAUGGACGUGACUGCCACCGCUGUGAAUCUGAUGCAGAUGUCGCAUGCGUGAUCAACGAAGCGGACGACGUGAAGACGGUGGAGGAUGUCCAGCAGAGUGUUGGACGAGGUGGUCGAGAUCAUGGUGGAAAACCUCAAUCGUAUUCUCGAGAGGGAUGAAAAGAUCGCGGAUUUGGAAAUAUGUGCAGAAAACAUUCGCCACAAAGCUAAAGAACUACGUCGCGUGAGUAAAAAGCUAUUGAGGAGAUACUAUUGGAGACGACACCGGUGCUCGAUACUCCUCGCAGUGUUUGUGUUUUUCUGCUUGACAGUUG